rnacentral:tmRNA from 1 species
GGGGCAGUAAUGGUUUCGACAGCAAUUACUGGUUUGGAUGGCAAGUAGUAGGCAUACUUUAAAUGCAAAAAUUAAAAUUAAAUGACGAAGAUUAUUCGUUCUCUUCUUUUGCUCCAGUAGCAGCCUAGUUUAAGGUAUAGGAAGGCUUUGUUAUACUUUAUCUUAUUGGGUAUAUCAGGGUUCAUUUAAAUAAGAUAUAUAAAGGAAUUGCUUCUAGUUCUUUUAUGAAUUUAAUAGAAGAUCGUUAUUAUAAUUGGUGAGUUGGAUCCGGUUAUAAUAAUUAAAUCUAAUUCCAACUAAACUUGUAGAUAUUCAGAUUAAGUGUUGUUUGGACAGGGGUUCAACUCCCCUCUGCUCCACCA